rnacentral:rRNA from 1 species
AUUGAACGCUGGCGGCAGGCUUAACACAUGCAAGUCGAGCGAGCGGCGGACGGGUGAGUAAUGUAUGGGAAACUGCCUGGUGGAGGGGGAUAACUACUGGAAACGGUAGCUAAUACCGCAUACCAUCAGAUGUGCCCAUAUGGGAUUAGCUAGUAGGUGGGGUAAUGGCUCACCUAGGCGACGAUCCCUAGCUGGUCUGAGAGGAUGACCAGCCACACUGGAACUGAGACACGGUCCAGACUCCGACGGGAGGCAGCAGUGGGGAAUAUUGCACAAUGGGCGCAAGCCUGAUGCAGCCAUGCCGCGUGUAUGAAGAAGGCCUUCGGGUUGUAAAGUACUUUCAGCGAGGAGGCGUUACCCGCAGAAGAAGCACCGGCUAACUCCGUGCCAGCAGCCGCGGUAAUUC